rnacentral:rRNA from 1 species
GGAGCGUUCUGUAAGCCUGCGAAGGUGUGCUGUGAGGCAUGCUGGAGGUAUCAGAAGUGCGAAUGCUGACAUAAGUAACGAUAAAGCGGGUGAAAAGCCCGCUCGCCGGAAGACCAAGGGUUCCUGUCCAACGUUAAUCGGGGCAGGGUGAGUCGACCCCUAAGGCGAGGCCGAAAGGCGUAGUCGAUGGGAAACAGGUUAAUAUUCCUGUACUUGGUGUUACUGCGAAGGGGGGACGGAGAAGGCUAUGUUGGCCGGGCGACGGUUGUCCCGGUU